AAUGAGGGAGAUAGAGGUGCUGAUGCUCUGCACCUGGGCCAGCUAGUUUAAAGUAUUUUAUUUAUUUAUUGGCUUUCUUUCCUGAUGGAAUUCAAGGUAGUAUACCCAUAUUUCCCAGGCAGUUUUUAUCUGGGCACUGACCAGGCCCCAUCCUACCGCAGCCAAGUUGAAGCACUGUACCUCCAGACUAUGACCUCUGGCAACCGAGGAUGGGGAGUGAGAGACAAAGCAAUGAUUUCAACGAUGGACAAUAACUACCCUGGAGAUUGUUGGAAAUGUAUGGAGCAGACAGGUACCUUCUAUCACAUGUGGUGGACAUGAGCAGCAAGUCAUCUAAAGAAACCUAAAAGACUACAAGAAUGCCAUCACAAGAAUGCCACCUAUAAAGCCCUUAACGGCUGAGGUCCAGGGUACUUAAGAGAGCACCUUCUCUGUCAUGAACCCUCUUGCCUGUUAAGAUCAUCUGGAGAGGUCCGGUUAUGGUUACCGCCAACUCGUUUUGUGGCGACUUGGGACCAGGACUUCUCUGUGGCUGCCCUAGGGCUUUGGAAUGCACUCCCUGCUGAAAUAACAGCAUCUUCUCCUCUGUUUGUUUUUAGAAGGACUCUGACUCUAUUUUCCCAGGCCUUCAACUGAGACCAAAAUUUUAAAUUGUAAUGUGUUUUUAUCUAUUAUGAUUAGGGUGGAUUAGGAUUGCUCCUGUGGGCUAGCAUGGAGCUCUCAGAGUACACUCUAUGGGACUGGCUGCCCAAGUUGCCUCAUGGCACAAGAAGGGAUGCAGAGGGGAACAUAGUGACUGUGGUUCCAGUCAUGCAUUGGCAUACCAGGUCCCUUAUCAGCUUUGACUCAAACAUUAUGCAGAGGCUGUAGCCAGAGGCUGAGAUGAUGACUGCCACUUAACACACAAGGGAGCAUAAGCAUGCUAAAGUUUUGAUCUGACUGAGCAUUAUGUAAAUCCACUGGCUCUGCAUAAAAGCACUUUUUUCGGGCUAAUUAGUAACCUUUUGACAGUGUUUUCCCACCUAAUUGCUGCUCUUCACAUGUCUGGCUGAAGACCAAGAAUGCCUGCCAAGCCAAGUUGUAAUAACUAGGUAGGGGCUCAAUUAUGCACUAGCUUAUUUCAUGCCUUGGGCCUAAUUGAAGUGAGCAGAGCCCUUUGAGUCAGUCAGUAUUUGCUAAGUCUGGCCCUUGUAGUGUUCUUGGUUAAUCCAUUCCUUGAUCCAGGCCGGCUUUUGAAUGGUGAUUUAGUUACUUUUAUUAUUAUUUUGUUUUGAAUAAACAAAAUAAUUUUUUAAUUUAUAUUAUUAUGCUAUUUACACACAGUCUACCAGAUGUUAUUGGCUGGAUUUGGUGCUUUAAUUAUCGGGCCCUUUCCGAGGGUCUAGGAUAACUAAAGAAAAAUUAAAGAUAGUGUCGUAGUAUUCAUGCUGUCCUGAGUAGUGUGGCCCUCUGUAGCUGAUGUGUUGUAUUUUAUAAUUUAUUGAUUUUCUGUGACUGUAUACUUUCAAUGUUGAGUUUGUUCUCCCAGUAGCUCUACGGUCUCCAGCCUUGGUUGCUCAGCUGAAGAUCCUGAGUCCUGUAACCCAUUUUUCGACAAGUGCCCAGGGGCUCUAGUACUUGACGUAACCCUUGUUGACCCGGGCAAAGACCGAUCCGGUAUAGAAUUCGUUUUUCUUGUUCUCACCAUGGUUAUGGGACGAGGCACAUUUAGUCUGACUUCUCAGCAGAGAGCUAUCUUCUUCUUCUUCUUCUUCUUCUUCUUCUUCUUCUUCUUCUUCUUCUUCUUCUUCUUCUUCUUCUUCUUCUUCUUCUUCUUCUUUCUUGUUUACAGUGUCAGACAGGUGUUAUUGACUGGUGUGCUUAUUAUUAUUAUUAUUAUUAUGAAUGGUGCUUUAGUUACUUUUAGUAUUUUUUUAAAAAAAUUCCAGUCCUGGAGUAGAGGCGGGGCUAACAGCUAGCAGCAAGAACACGGAAAAGUAGUCUGCACUUGCCUCUCUGUAAAUAAUAUAUAUUUCAAUAAACAGUUAAUAUUCCUGAUAUUACUCCUUGCAUACCACAACUCUUUCCUCUGGAUUCUAUAGUCUUCACCUUUUAAGAACAUGGAGAGUCCUCCUCUGAACUGGGCGGUCAAUAUUUUUUGUGUGUGCCACGAGUGAAUCAUUCCUGGACCCUUUUAAUGUGAGAUAGAAAACGAAAGUAACCCUGUGUUUGAAUUGAAUGUUAAGCCUUGCUAAUAUAGAUUUUACAAUCAAAAUUUCAGAUGUAGGAAGUACAAAAGAAUGAUUUAAGCAUCAUUUGGGAAAACAGCUUUGGGCAGCUUUGGGGCAGAUUUAAGCAUCACCUGGGAAAACAGAAGAACAGCUUUGCGGCCAAAAGCAGAGGAAAAUACUGCUACCAAGCUAUGUGGGCUAUGCCCCACUUUCCAGUUGUGUCAUGCAAAUGGGAGGAGAGCUGGUUUUGUGGUAGCAGGCAUGGAUUUUCCCCUUUGCUAAGCAGGGUCCACCCCGGUUUGCAUUUAAAUAGGAGACUAUAUGUGUCAACACUGGAAGAUAUUCCCCUUGGUGGGGUGGUGCUCGGGGAAGAGCAUCUGCAUGUAGAAGGUUCCAUGUUUCCUCCCUUGCAUCUCCAAGACAGGACUGAGAGAGACUCCUGCCUGCAAGCUUGGAAUAGGCAACUACCAUUCUGUGUAGACCAUACUGAGUUAGAUGGACCAAUGGUCUGACUUGGUAUAAGGCAGCUUCCUGUGUUCCUAUGUCAGGACUGUUUCAGUUGUUACUUUCCCCCAGUACCAGCUUGUUGUCUUCUCUCCUCCUCCUCUCCCUGUUGUUUCCUUUCCUAGUGUUGUUGUUGCUGCUGCUGUUACUACAUUUAUUUAUAUACCACUUUUCAACAAAAAGACAGUUCUCAACAUGGUUUACAUAGAAAUGGAAAUACAGUGAUCAUCUUUAGACUAUAAGCUCUUCAGGCCAGGGACCUGUCUUUGCUUAUGGUACUCAGUGAUGACACUAUACUAAUCAAAAAACA